rnacentral:rRNA from 1 species
GACGAACGCUGGCGGCGUGCCUAACACAUGCAAGUUGAACGAAGCAUACUGGAUUAGAGAUUCGUCAAAGAUCGGGUAUGACUUAGUGGCGGACGGGUGAGUAAUACAUGAGCAACCUGCCCUGAAGAGGGGGACAACAGUUGGAAACGACUGCUAAUACCGCAUGAAGUCGUUGGGAGGCAUCUCCUGACGACCAAAGAUUUAUCGCUUCAGGAUGGGCUCAUGUCUGAUUAGCCAGUUGGUGAGGUAACGGCUCACCAAAGCAGUGAUCAGUAGCCGGACUGAGAGGUUGACCGGCCACAUUGGGACUGAGAUACGGCCCAGACUCCUACGGGAGGCAGCAGUGGGGAAUAUUGGGCAAUGGGCGCAAGCCUGACCCAGCAACGCCGCGUGAAGGAAGAAGGCUCGGUGUAAUCUUUAUGUAGGACGAGGAAGUGAGGUACUCAUGAUAAGCACGGCUAACUACGUAGCC